rnacentral:ncRNA from 2 species
CGGUUCAACGAUCGCGCCGGUGUCCCGCAAGGGACUUAAAUGGGAACGCGGUGCGGGAGCCUUGCUCCCUAAUCCGUGGCUGUCCCUGCAACUGUGAGCGGCGAGCGAGGCAUGGACAGGCCGGACCUUUGCCAAGGGACGGCCAAGCCACUGGAGCGAUCCGGGAAGGCCCAUGCCAAAGCUAUGACCCGCAAGCCAGGAGACCUGCCGGAGCAAAGGUCGCUCU